AAACUAGGUAAUCAAACAAGUCACACUAUGGAACCUAUGGGAGAACAGAUAAAGUCGAUUAAAAAAGAAGAAGUGAAAUGGAAGUAUGAUUAUUAUUAGAUAUUUUUAUGUCAAAGUUUGUAUUUACAUCUUUUAUACUUUUUUUACUAUUAUACAGAAGUUGUUACUUACAACAAAGAUAUGGUUUUUCAGAAAAGUUUGAAAUAUUAACAUUACCACAUGCUAUACAAGCUGAUGGUAUAUCAUUUGGAGUAUUCUGCCUUAAGUUUGCUGAAAAUUAUACAAAUGGAGAAGUUAAUGCAUACAGAAAGAGAGAUAAAGGAAGUUCGUGAGAUUCUUUAUAGAACUGAAAAUGUUUAUACAACUUCAAUGUUAAAUGAUAUCUAUAAAAAAGACAAAAAAAAUGAUGCGAAAUAAUAUCAAUAGGUCAGAAAAGUUGGCAGAAUAGUUUGUGUCGCAUUUGUGGAAGUGAAAUUGGUCCAAAAACUAGUAAAAAUCAAAAAAAGGUUAAAUGGAUCAAAUGUGAUAUUUGCAUCCGAAUUGAUGGUACCGUAUGAGAUGCAUUGUUUUUAGAAAUAAAACUUUAUUUUGUUGUGAACAUACUUAUAUAUAAAUGUAAUAAUAAAU